UCGAGCGGACAGAUGGGAGCUUGCUCCCUGAUGUUAGCGGCGGACGGGUGAGUAACACGUGGGUAACCUGCCUGUAAGACUGGGAUAACUCCGGGAACCGGGGCUAAUACCGGAUGGUUGUUGAACCGCAUGGUUCAAACAUAAAAGGUGGCUUCGGCUACCACUUACAGAUGGACCCGCGGCGCAUUAGCUAGUUGGUGAGGUAAUGGCUCACCAAGGCAACGAUGCGUAGCCGACCUGAGAGGGUGAUCGGCCACACUGGGACUGAGACACGGCCCAGACUCCUACGGAGGCAGCAGUAGAAUCUUCCGCAAUGGACGAGUCUGACGGAGCAACGCCGCGUGAGUGAUGAAGGUUCGGAUCGUAAAGCUCUGUUGUUAGGGAAGAACAAGUACCGUUCGAAUAGCGGUACCUUGACGGUACCUAACCAGAAAGCCACGGCUAACUACGUGCCAGCAGCCGCGGUAAUACGUAGGUGGCAAGCGUUGUCCGGAAUUAUUGGGCGUAAAGGGCUCGCAGGCGGUUUCUUAAGUCUGAUGUGAAAGCGGCUCAACCGAGUCAUUGGAAACUGGGGAACUUGAGUGCAGAAGAGGAGAGUGGAAUUCCACGUGUAGCGGUGAAAUGCGUAGAGAUGUGGAGGAACACCAGUGGCGAAGGCGACUCUCUGGUCUGUAACUGACGCUGAGGAGCGAAAGCGUGGGGAGCGAACAGGAUUAGAUACCCUGGUAGUCCACGCCGUACGAUGAGUGCUAAGUGUUAGUCCGCUUAGUGCUGCAGCUAACGCAUUAAGCACUCCGCCUGGGGAGUACGGUCGCAAGACUGAAACUCAAAGGAAUUGACGGGGGCCCGCACAAGCGGUGGAGCAUGUGGUUUAAUUCGAAGCAACGCAAGAACCUUACCAGGUCUUGACAUCCUCUGACAUCCUAGAGAUAGG
rnacentral:rRNA from 1 species